UGAAUACGAGACGCUAAGGCGUCGAAGUAGUGUAUGUCAUACUUCCAAGAAAAGCUUGCACUGUCAUAGAUAAAAAACGCCUGUACCAUAACCGACACAGGUGGGUAGGUAGAGUAUACUAAGGGGCGCGAGAUAACUCUCUCUAAGGAACUCGGCAAAAUAACUCCGUAACUUCGGGAGAAGGAGUGCCUUAUUUAUAAGGCUGCAAUAACAAGAUCCAAGCAACUGUUUAUCAAAAACACAGGUCUCCGCUAAGUCGUAAGACGAUGUAUGGGGGCUGACGCCUGCCCAGUGCCAGAAGGUUAAAGAAGUUGGUUAGCUUUUGCGAAGCUGAUAACUGAAGCCCUGGUGAACGGCGGCCGUAACUAUAACGGUCCUAAGGUAGCGAAAUUCCUUGUCGGGUAAGUUCCGACCCGCACGAAAGGCGUAAUGAUUUGGAUACUGUCUCGGAGAGGGGCUCGGUGAAAUAGACUUGUCUGUGAAGAUGCGGACUACCUGCACCAGGACAGAAAGACCCUAUGAAGCUUUACUGUAACUUGAAAUUGAAAUUGGACUUUAUUCGCGCAGCAUAGGUGGGAGGCGUUGAUUAUAAUCUCGUGGGAUUAUUGGAGCCAUCAGUGAGAUACCACUCUUGUAAUGUUAGAUUUCUAACUUUGAAUCAUUAUCUGGUCAAAGAACAGUUUCAGGCGGGCAGUUUGACUGGGGCGGUCGCCUCCUAAACGGUAACGGAGGCGUACAAAGGUUUCCUCUGAACGGUUAGAAAUCGUAUCUAGAGUGUAAAGGCAUAAGGAAGCUUGACUGUGAGACCUACAAGUCGAGCAGGGACGAAAGUCGGUCUUAGUGAUCUGACGGUACUGAGUGGAAAGGCCGUCACUCAACGGAUAAAAGUUACUCUAGGAUAACAGGCUGAUCUCCCCCAAGAGUUCACAUCGACGGGGAGGUUUGGCACCUCGAUGUCGGCUCAUCGCAUCCUGGGGCGGUAGUACGUCCCAAGGGUUGGGCUGUUCGCCCAUGAAAGCGGUACGCGAGCUGGGUUCAGAACGUCGUGAGACAGUUCGGUCCAUAUCCGGUGUAGGCGUUAGAAUAUUGAGAGGAGCCUUCUUUAGUACGAGAGGACCGAGAAGGACAUACCUCUGGUGUACCAGUUAUCGUGCCAACGGUAAACGCUGGGUAGCUAUGUAUGGAGUGGAUAACCGCUGAAAGCAUCUAAGUGGGAAGCCCACCUCAAGAUAAGUA
rnacentral:rRNA from 1 species